rnacentral:rRNA from 1 species
AUUGAACGCUGGCGGCAUGCUUUACACAUGCAAGUCGAGCGGCAGCGCGGGGGGCAACCCUGGCGGCGAGCGGCGAACGGGUGAGUAAUGCAUCGGAACGUACCCUGGAGUGGGGGAUAACGCCGCGAAAGCGGCGCUAAUACCGCAUAUGCUCUGAGGAGGAAAGUGGGGGGACCGCAAGGCCUCACGCUCUGGGAGCGGCCGAUGUCCGAUUAGCUAGUUGGUGAGGGUAAAAGGCUUACCAAGGCGACGAUCGGUAGCUGGUCUGAGAGGAUGAUCAGCCACACUGGGACUGAGACACGGCCCAGACUCCUACGGGAGGCAGCAGUGGGGAAUUUUGGACAAUGGGGGCAACCCUGAUCCAGCCAUGCCGCGUGAGUGAAGAAGGCC